AUUGAACGCUGGCGGCAGGCCUAACACAUGCAAGUCGAACGAGUGGCGGACGGGUGAGUAAUGUCUGGGAAACUGCCUGAUGGAGGGGGAUAACUACUGGAAACGGUAGCUAAUCCCGCAUACCCUCGUAUGUGCCCAGCUGGGAUUAGCUAGUAGGUGGGGUAAAGGCUCACCUAGGCGACGCUCCCUAGCUGGUCUGAGAGGAUGACCAGCCACACUGGAACUGAGACACGGUCCAGACUCCUACGGGAGGCAGCAGUGGGGAAUAUUGCACAAUGGGCGCAAGCCUGAUGCAGCCAUGCCGCGUGUGUGAAGAAGGUCUUCGGAUUGUAAAGCACUUUAAGUUGGGAGGCGUUACCCGCAGAAGAAGCACCGGCUAACUCCGUGCCAGCAGCCGCGGUAAUAA
rnacentral:rRNA from 1 species